GGCUCGAGGGGCCGGACGGGUGCGGUGCCUCACGCCUCAGCCUGGCCUCCCGGGCCCACGGCCGCCCGCGAGUGACUGCGGGCAGAGGCCCGGUCGGCAGCACGUGGUGGGCCCCGUGACCGGGAGAGGCGCGGACCAGAAACAACCCAAUACAAAUUGAGCAAAAACUCAAACACAGAAGAACGUGAACAUGUUUAUAAGCAUAAGGAAAGAGGCUCCGGAUCACUAGCUACCUUGCGGACGUCGAGGUGGCACUACCCGGCCACCAGAAGGGCGGGAGACCGAAGCAAAAACUCGGCCUUGACAGCAGAAGUUGACAGGCUGCAGAGAGCAGAUGGAACCCUCAUACAUGGCUGGCCAGGGCAUGGACUAACACAACCACUUGGAAAUUUUGGCAACUAGCAAAAAAAGUUACCUAUCUACCCCGUGUCCCAGAAAUUCCGCUCUUGGUAUGUUUCUUCAAAAAAAGAGGCACAUCUCUGAGAAGACUUGUAGAAGAAUGGUCAUAGCGGCUUUAUUCAUAAUGGCCCCAAAUUACAGAACACCUCAGUGAACAUCAAGUGAAUAGGCCUCAGGUGGAAUUCUACUCAGCAGUGAAAAAUAAUUCACCGCUACCACAACGUAGCUGAAUCUCAGAAACGUCCUGCCACAUCCCUGAGGCUGUCCACACAUUGAGACCGAGACAGCCUCCUCUGCUUCAGGGGGAAGGACAAGAUCCAAACAAGAACAAAGGAAUGAAUGGUCACCUUGUGCCUUCGAAAAAUGCCGUUGAAGCCCUUUUCAGAGACAACAGUUGCAAAAAGGUACCUGAAUGGCUCAGCAGUUGAGAGUCUGCCUUCUGCUCAGGGUGUGAUCCCAGGGUCCGGGGAUCGAGUCCUGCAUUGGGCUUCCUGCAUGGAGUCUGCUUCUCCCUCUGCCUGUGUCUCUGCCUAUCUCUGUG